AAACAAGCACCGAAUCUUCAGCGAGAGGCGAAAAUGCUGGUCGACCAAGUGGAAAAAGUUCGGCGAGCCAAGACCACGAUGAGCGACUUUGUCAGCAAACACUGGUGUGUCUGAGU